rnacentral:lncRNA from 1 species
GUUAAACCCAUGAAAUUUGAUUGAAUUGUGUGAAUAAAGAAAAUGUUGUUGCUAAACCCAUGAAAUUUGAUUGAAUUGUGGGAAUGAUGAAAAUGUUGAUGUUAAACCCACGAAAUUUGAUUGAAUUGUGUGAAUGAUGAAAAUGUUGUUGUUAAACCUAUGAAAUUUGAUUGGAUUGUGUGAAUGAUGAAAACGUUUUUGUUAAACCUAUGAAAGUUGAUUGAAUUAUGGAAAUGAUGAAAAUGUGAUGUUUAACCCAUGAAAUUGGAUUGAAUUGUGGGAAUGAUGAAAAUGUUGAUGCUAAACCCAUGAAAUUCGAUUGAAUGGUAGGAAUGAUGAAAA